GUUCAAAAGAAGUCCUUACAGGCAAGUUUAUUAUAGUUUCUUCACUUACAAAUCUGUUUCAACUGAGCUUUCUGUCUCACUUUGUGUCUGUUAUGCACGAGCACUAGUACAUGUGUGUUUUGAUUAUAACUCAUUUUUGAAUUUCUAAGUCAGAUAUUAUGGUUUGUACACUAUGUUUAUAGAAACAUAACGUUUUAUGAAACACUGGCAUGUCACUGAUUCAACAUUUAAUUUCUGCAGCUAUGUUUGGUCAGCUGCAGGGAAGCAGCCAGAUCUUGAGAAGCAUGUAGGUGUUGGUGGAUAUGGGUA
rnacentral:misc_RNA from 1 species